rnacentral:lncRNA from 10 species
CCUCGAUGCUGAUUCAUAUCCUACUGCCCAUGGUUUUCUGCGUCUUGCUCAUCAUGGUCAUGUGCUACUUGAAAAGUCAGUGGAUCAAGGAGACCUGUUAUCCUGACAUCCCUGACCCUUACAAGAGCAGCAUCCUGUCAUUAAUAAAAUUCAAGAUCUCUUCAAAAGUCUGGCUUAAUAGAAGAUAGCUGGAUUCUCAUACUUGCUUCUACAUUCAAUCUGUUGCCAUAUGUUGUUUUGGCUGAAGUAUUAAAGAAAAUCUAGCCUCACACAGAAAAUGAAAAUAACUACAGCAUGCAAAGGGCCUGGACAGGGCUGUUCACAGUGGAAAAGACCUAAUCCAGGGAUCUGUCAGACUCAGGCCCCACUGUGACCUGGAACCGUGAGAGGAUCAGCAUCUCAGCAUAACAUAAUUUGGCAUAUCAGUGUGCUGCAGCUCACCAGCUGGGAAACUCUGAAUUAGAAUACCAAAAAGAAAUUUGGAAAAGUAAACCAGAGAACUUUAGUCAUCACUAGGUUUUUCUGAAGGUGGGACGUGAUCACUUACCUGAAUGACUACAUAUUGCACUCAGUUGGUUGCUGGGCUGGAAACCCAGAAUUUCAAUACAGACACAAUAAAGGCAGUUAUCAUCUGUAUGUUCCUGUAGUCCAGU